rnacentral:lncRNA from 10 species
UGGGGGGAAGGAUCAAGCCCCCCGUCUUUCCUCCACAUGGUCUCACUGCUAGUCACCCUAUUUUAUGUUCUCAUGAUUUUUAUUUGUAUAGCUUCAUGGGGUUUAAGUACGAUGAUGCUGCAUUGAGACGUUGUACUGUGUGAAGUCAGGGCCUUCUGUGCAUCGGUCGAGGGUGCAAUGCACACGGCACCCCCGAGCAGCCACCCAUCCUCCCUUCCCUCCACCCUGCGAGGCCCCGUUGUCCGUCUGUCCACACUCUGCUCCAUGAGCACACGUGACUUAGCUUCGCCUUGUGAGCCGCUGCUUGGGGUGAGCAUGCUUCCUGCUGGAUGCUUCUCUAUGUAAGCACCUGCCUGAGUGUCAGCCCUCUUAAGGUGAACCGCUCCGUGUCAUUCGUACAUUCACAAGUUUGUGCCGCCAUCAUCGUGAUCGGAUUCCAAAACAUUUUCAUCACCUCCAAGAAAGCCUUGUACCUGGCAGCAGUCACUGUCUCUAUGGAUUUGCUUAUUCUGGACAUUUCAUAAAAAUAGAAUCAAACAGCAUUUGGC